CAACUCCCAAACCCCUGUGAACAUACCACUUGUUGCCUCGGCGGAUCAGCCCGCUCCCGGUAAAACGGGACGGCCCGCCAGAGGACCCCUAAACUCUGUUUCUAUAUGUAACUUCUGAGUAAAACCAUAAAUAAAUCAAAACUUUCAACAACGGAUCUCUUGGUUCUGGCAUCGAUGAAGAACGCAGCAAAAUGCGAUAAGUAAUGUGAAUUGCAGAAUUCAGUGAAUCAUCGAAUCUUUGAACGCACAUUGCGCCCGCCAGUAUUCUGGCGGGCAUGCCUGUUCGAGCGUCAUUUCAACCCUCAAGCACAGCUUGGUGUUGGGACUCGCGUUAAUUCGCGUUCCCCAAAUUGAUUGGCGGUCACGUCGAGCUUCCAUAGCGUAGUAGUAAAACCCUCGUUACUGGUAAUCGUCGCGGCCACGCCGUUAAACCCCAACUUCUGAAUGUUGACCUCGGAUCAGGUAGGAAUACCCGCUGAACUUAAGCAUAUCAAA
rnacentral:rRNA from 1 species